rnacentral:rRNA from 1 species
UACGGAGGGAGCUAGCGUUGUUCGGAAUUACUGGGCGUAAAGCGCACGUAGGCGGCUAUUCAAGUCAGAGGUGAAAGCCCGGGGCUCAACCCCGGAACUGCCUUUGAAACUAGAUAGCUAGAAUCUUGGAGAGGUCAGUGGAAUUCCCGAGUGUAGAGGUGAAAUUCGUAGAUAUUCGGAAGAACACCAGUGGCGAAGGCGACUGACUGGACAAGUAUUGACGCUGAGGUGCGAAAGCGUGGGGGAGCAAACAGG